rnacentral:lncRNA from 1 species
UAUAAUAUUUAUUUUUAGAGAAAAACGAAGUGGACGUAAAUAACGGAAUAUUAGAAUUAGAUAAAGGAAGAAAACAAUAAGAAUAUUAUAUAUAUCGGACUGUUGUACUCUCAGUGAGACAAAGUUCGUACGUGUAAAGAAUGUCCUUCUCCUUGUAAGAGGAAUUCUCAUUUAUAUAAGGUUCUAUAUCUCGCAGUCAAGAGAAUAUUAUAAAUGCCAAAGUGUUGCAUCUCCGAGUGAGUCAAAUUUCGUACUUUUAGAGGAUGGCCAUAUGAGAGAGAUUCCUUUUAUAAGUCAAUAUUGAUAUCCCACUAUCGAGAGAUAAAUUACAGGUAUCACAGGUAAGUAUCUUAUAAUAUUUAUUUUCAGGUAAUUAAAUAAUGGAGGGAAAUAAUUGAAGUGGAAGCAAAUCUCUAAAUGUAGAAAUUAGAGGCAAGGAGGAGACAAUGGAAGUAGACAAAUGGAGAAAGCAAUAAGAAUAUCGUAUAUAUCGAACUGUUGUGCUCCCAGUGAGACAAAGUUUCCUAUUUAGAGAAUGCCCUUCUCCUCGUGAAAGGGAUUCCUAUUAUAUGAGGUUAGAAAUCUGGCUAUCAAAUAAUAUUAUAAAUAUCGAACUGUUGUUUUCCCAGUGACGCAAAGUUUCCUAUUUAUAGAGAAUGCCCUUCUCCUCGUGAGGGGGAUUCCUAUUGUAUGAGGUUCUAAAUCUCUCUAUCAAGAGAAUAUUAUAAAUACCGAAGUUGUGCCGAAGUGUUGUAUCACCCAGGGAGUCAAAUUUCUCAUUUUUCGAGAAUGGCCGUCUCCGUGUGAGGGAUUCCUUUUAUAAGUCAUUGUUGAUAUCCCCUAUCGAGAUAUUAAUUACACGUAUUACCGGUGAGUAUCUUAUAAUACUUAUUUUUAGGAAAUUAAAUAAUGAAUGGAAAUAAUUAAAGUAAAAGCAAAUUUCGAAAUAUGGAAAUUAGAGGCAAGGAGGAAACAAUGGAAUUAGACAAAAAGAAAAAAUGAGAAUAACAUAUAUAUAUCGAACUGUUGUCCUCUCCGUGAGACAAAGUUUCGUACUUACAGAGAAUGCCCUUCUCUUCGUGAGAGGGAUUCCUAUUAUAUGAGAUUCUAGAUCUCGCAAUCAACAGAGUACUAUAAAUGCCGAAGUGUUUUAUCUCCCAGCAAUGAAAUAAGACGAAUAUUGGAUGGAAAUAAAUAGAAGUACAUCCCGAAAUGUGGGGAUUAGAGGAAAGGAGAAAACAAAGGGAUGAGGAAUAUUGUAUAAACACGGACUGUUCUUCUCCCAGUGUUCUUUUCAUAGCGAGACAAAGGUUAGUACUUUUAGAUAAUCCUCUACUCCGUGUGAGAGGGAUUCCUUUUUUAAGAUAUUCCAGAGCUCGCUAUCGAGAUAAUAUUAUAAUAACCGAAGUGUUGUUGUCUCAAUGAUACAAAAUUUUUUAAUUUUAGUGAAUGCCCUUCUCCGUGUGAAAGGGAUUCCUUUAUAAAUGACGUUCUCGGUCUCGUUAUCGUAGAAGUAGAUUUCACAAAAGAAUUUCAAGUGAUAAAUCUAAAAAUUUUAGACCCUCAAAAAAAAAACGAUAUAUUUCAACAGGAAAACUCCCCCACACAUUAUAUUUAUAAGGCUGUACGUUCAAAAAGCAGGACAGUCGUUAUUUAAGUGUCACUAUCUCAUAACAGAUCGAACACAAGGUCAGCAACUAGGAAGAGGAAAAUAACCAAAUCUAGCGAUUUGUGCAGUUUGUUGGGGGAAGGGCAAUCCAAAGAGACUACAGAACAUUCGACUCUUCGAUGAUGAUACAUUCUUCUUCGGGAGACGAAUUCAGUCUUAGCCAAUGAUCUGGCUUCAGCACAGAACAAGGUCCAACUUUUAUAUCUGAGAAAAUAUUUUAGCUCCCUAAUUUACCAAGGAGCCAUGGCAUGUCGCCUAUCCUCUCCUGUGUCAUAAUUGUUAA